GAUGAACGCUGGCGGCGUGCCUAAUACAUGCAAGUCGAGCGAACAGACGAGGAGCUUGCUCCUCUGACGUUAGCGGCGGACGGGUGAGUAACACGUGGAUAACCUACCUAUAAGACUGGGAUAACUUCGGGAAACCGGAGCUAAUACCGGAUAAUAUAUUGCACCGCAUGGUUCAAUAGUGAAAGACGGUUUUGCUGUCACUUAUAGAUGGAUCCGCGCCGCAUUAGCUAGUUGGUAAGGUAACGGCUUACCAAGGCAACGAUGCGUAGCCGACCUGAGAGGGUGAUCGGCCACACUGGAACUGAGACACGGUCCAGACUCUUACGGGAGGCAGCAGUAGGGAAUCUUCCGCAAUGGGCGAAAGCCUGACGGAGCAACGCCGCGUGAGUGAUGAAGGUCUUCGGAUCGUAAAACUCUGUUAUUAGGGAAGAACAAAUGUGUAAGUAACUAUGCACGUCUUGACGGUACCUAAUCAGAAAGCCACGGCUAACUACGUG
rnacentral:rRNA from 1 species